rnacentral:rRNA from 1 species
UGCAAGGUUAAGCAGUAAAUGUGGAGCCGUAGCGAAAGCGAGUCUGAAUAGGGCGUUUAGUAUUUGGUCGUAGACCCGAAACCAGGUGAUCUACCCUUGGUCAGGUUGAAGUUCAGGUAACACUGAAUGGAGGACCGAACCGACUUACGUUGAAAAGUGAGCGGAUGAACUGAGGGUAGCGGAGAAAUUCCAAUCGAACCUGGAGAUAGCUGGUUCUCUCCGAAAUAGCUUUAGGGCUAGCCUCAAGUGAUGAUUAUUGGAGGUAGAGCACUGUUUGGACGAGGGGCCCCUCUCGGGUUACCGAAUUCAGACAAACUCCGAAUGCCAAUUAAUUUAACUUGGGAGUCAGAACAUGGGUGAUAAGGUCCGUGUUCGAAAGGGAAACAGCCCAGACCACCAGCUAAGGUCCCAAAAUAUAUGUUAAGUGGAAAAGGAUGUGGCGUUGCCCAGACAACUAGGAUGUUGGCUUAGAAGCAGCCAUCAUUUAAAGAGUGCGUAAUAGCUCACUAGUCGAGUGACACUGCGCCGAAAAUGUACCGGGGCUAAACAUAUUACCGAAGCUGUGGAUUGUCCUUUGGACAAUGGUAGGAGAGCGUUCUAAGGGCGUUGAAGCAUGAUCGUAAGGACAUGUGGAGCGCUUAGAAGUGAGAAUGCCGGUGUGAGUAGCGAAAGACGGGUGAGAAUCCCGUCCACCGAUUGACUAAGGUUUCCAGAGGAAGGCUCGUCCGCUCUGGGUUAGUCGGGUCCUAAGCUGAGGCCGACAGGCGUAGGCGAUGGAUAACAGGUUGAUAUUCCUGUACCACCUAUAAUCGUUUUAAUCGAUGGGGGGACGCAGUAGGAUAGGCGAAGCGUGCGAUUGGAUUGCACGUCUAAGCAGUAAGGCUGAGUAUUAGGCAAAUCCGGUACUCGUUAAGGCUGAGCUGUGAUGGGGAGAAGACAUUGAGUCUUCGAGUCGUUGAUUUCACACUGCCGAGAAAAGCCUCUAGAUAGAAAAUAGGUGCCCGUACCGCAAACCGACACAGGUAGUCAAGAUGAGAAUUCUAAGGUGAGCGAGCGAACUCUCGUUAAGGAACUCGGCAAAAUGACCCCGUAACUUCGGGAGAAGGGGUGCUCUUUAGGGUUAACGCCCAGAAGAGCCGCAGUGAAUAGGCCCAAGCGACUGUUUAUCAAAAACACAGGUCUCUGCUAAACCGUAAGGUGAUGUAUAGGGGCUGACGCCUGCCCGGUGCUGGAAGGUUAAGAGGAGUGGUUAGCUUCUGCGAAGCUACGAAUCGAAGCCCCAGUAAACGGCGGCCGUAACUAUAACGGUCCUAAGGUAGCGAAAUUCCUUGUCGGGUAAGUUCCGACCCGCACGAAAGGCGUAACGAUUUGGGCACUGUCUCAACGAGAGACUCGGUGAAAUCAUAGUACCUGUGAAGAUGCAGGUUACCCGCGACAGGACGGAAAGACCCCGUGGAGCUUUACUGUAGCCUGAUAUUGAAAUUCGGCACAGCUUGUACAGGAUAGGUAGGAGCCUUUGAAACGUGAGCGCUAGCUUACGUGGAGGCGCUGGUGGGAUACUACCCUAGCUGUGUUGGCUUUCUAACCCGCACCACUUAUCGUGGUGGGAGACAGUGUCAGGCGGGCAGUUUGACUGGGGCGGUCGCCUCCUAAAAGGUAACGGAGGCGCUCAAAGGUUCCCUCAGAAUGGUUGGAAAUCAUUCAUAGAGUGUAAAGGCAUAAGGGAGCUUGACUGCGAGACCUACAAGUCGAGCAGGGUCGAAAGACGGACUUAGUGAUCCGGUGGUUCCGCAUGGAAGGGCCAUCGCUCAACGGAUAAAAGCUACCCCGGGGAUAACAGGCUUAUCUCCCCCAAGAGUUCACAUCGACGGGGAGGUUUGGCACCUCGAUGUCGGCUCAUCGCAUCCUGGGGCUGUAGUCGGUCCCAAGGGUUGGGCUGUUCGCCCAUUAAAGCGGUACGCGAGCUGGGUUCAGAACGUCGUGAGACAGUUCGGUCCCUAUCCGUCGUGGGCGUAGGAAAUUUGAGAGGAGCUGUCCUUAGUACGAGAGGACCGGGAUGGACAUACCUCUGGUGUACCAGUUGUCGUGCCAACGGCAUAGCUGGGUAGCUAUGUGUGGACGGGAUAAGUGCUGAAAGCAUCUAAGCAUGAAGCCCCCCUCAAGAUGAGAUUUCCCAACUUCGGUUAUAAGAUCCCUCAAAGAUGAUGAGGUUAAUAGGUUCGAGGUGGAAGCAUGGUGACAUGUGGAGCUGACGAAUACUAAUCGAUCGAAGACUUAAUCAA